rnacentral:rRNA from 1 species
UGCCCAUGUCUGGGGAAUAACCCGUCGAAAGGCGGACUAACUCCCCAUGGUCUCCGAUGAGGACAUCCGAAUUGGAGUAAAGCUUCGCGGACAUGGAUGGGGAUGCGUCUGAUUAGGUAGUAGGCGGGGUAACGGCCCACCUAGCCUACGAUCAGUAGGGGUUCUGAGAGGAAGGUCCCCCACAUUGGAACUGAGACACGGUCCAAACUCCUACGGGAGGCAGCAGUGAGGAAUAUUGGUCAAUGGACGCGAGUCUGAACCAGCCAAGUAGCGUGCAGGAUGACGGCCCUAUGGGUUGUAAACUGCUUUUGCGCGGGGAUAACACCCUCCACGUGCUGGAGGUCUGCAGGUACCGCGCGAAUAAGGACCGGCUAAUUCCGUGCCAGCAGCCGCGGUAAUACGGAAGGUCCGGGCGUUAUCCGGAUUUAUUGGGUUUAAAGGGAGCGUAGGCCGUGAGGUAAGCGUGUUGUGAAAUGUAGGCGCCCAACGUCUGCACUGCAGCGCGAACUGCCCCACUUGAGUGCGCGCAACGCCGGCGGAACUCGUCGUGUAGCGGUGAAAUGCUUAGAUAUGACGAAGAACCCCGAUUGCGAAGGCAGCUGGCGGGAGCGUAACUGACGCUGAAGCUCGAAAGCGCGGGUAUCGAACAGGAUUAGAUACCCUGGUAGUCCGCGC